rnacentral:rRNA from 1 species
CAGUAGCCGCGGUAAUACAGAGGGUGCGAGCGUUAAUCGGAUUUACUGGGCGUAAAGCGUGCGUAGGCGGCUUUUUAAGUCGGAUGUGAAAUCCCUGAGCUUAACUUAGGAAUUGCAUUCGAUACUGGGAAGCUAGAGUAUGGGAGAGGAUGGUAGAAUUCCAGGUGUAGCGGUGAAAUGCGUAGAGAUCUGGAGGAAUACCGAUGGCGAAGGCAGCCAUCUGGCCUAAUACUGACGCUGAGGUACGAAAGCAUGGGGAGCAAACAGGAUUAGAGACCCGAGUAGUCCCUGUCUCUUAUAA